UGGCACUGAAUGUAGCCUCACACACAGGCACAGGCAAUUUACACACACACACGACCUCAGAGAUGACGUUCUCCUUCAUUAGGACUUUGCUUUGGUACCCAUGAGGACUACUGGUGCCGUCAAGGUUGGUGUUUAUACCGGAGAAAGUCCCAAAGAGAUUUAAUACUGCAGGUCUUCCUGGAGCAGCCUCACCACCAUCAACACCUGUGCUGUGGGCUAUGGGGAGAGCGUCUGUCCUUACAUGUGAGAAAAGCCGAAAGAUCCCAACCACAACUGUGCACGUAAUUGGAAUGGCAGCUUCAGCACUUAGCAAUAUUACAGUUCACUUUCAUAAAUGACAUGCCGUUUCAUGUGAUUUACC